ensembl:lncRNA
CACAACAAAGCCCGGCUCGCACCAGCAGACAAUGUGGUAGUGGUAUUCAUCCCAUGCUAGACUGUUCAUUGCUAUUGAAAACAACACUUGCAGCACUCAGCAGUUAUUCUGCUCGUUGCCAGACAGUUGUUUACCCACAGCAGCGCCCACUCCUCAGCUACACAUUACCAUCAAUCUUUAACUUCGACCGCACCAAAAACACGAACCUCCUCGACUGCACGAGUUCCUGCUCACUCGGAUAGAAGAGGUGAUUACGCACUGUGAUUUCGUGAGGUUUCUUCAGGCUGCUGAGAUAAAGAUGUCUUUAAAGCGGAGACUUCUGUCCAUGCUGUUGUGUUGUGUGUAUUGCGUGGCCUCCAUCUUUUGCCUUCAACCGGACAGGAACAUCUGUCUUUCUCAGGGCAGCCGGGGUCUGGUGACGGUUGUCCAGCAGCUUUACCAGCGAGUCGUGAGGCUUCUUCGUACAGUGCUGUGAGAUUACAGAAGAGAUUCCUCUUCAUCUCGUUUUUUUUUCCAAACCAGACGGAAGACAUGACAGAAAGAAUCGUCUCACAGCCUGAGAUUUCCACAUCAUCUGAUCUGGCACGAUGAACCUUAAAAUAUGGGAGGUUUUUUUUUUAAAGGUCUUUCUGAAGCUCCAGAACUAUACAAUACUAUACAAUCGUUUUCUCACACCAUUGGGUUGUAUUUAAUGGAAUGAAAAGUGCUGUAAUGUAUAGUAAACAUGGAGAAAGUUCUGGGAAGUGAAGGUUGAAGUGUACAUUGAGGAUGAUGUUGGCUGAGGUCCUCUGACACGCCAGGGUAGAACAUUGUGUUGAUACAUCGCUGAGUGAGAACGUAGAAACGUACAAACACCCGAGUCGGAGAGAUCAGACGUUCUCGACCUUUUUGCACCCGGAGACGCCUUCCAGAGUAAAAGAGUAUCCACGGACCCCCUUAUGCUCACAGCAAGAACAUGGUUUUAAAAACACCAAGGUCACAUACGCACCAUUGAUGGAUACUGAUUUAUAAUCGAGCCAUUAGAGCUUUUCAUUCCAGAGCUUUCCACUCAGCCGGACAUAGAUUUGAAACGUCAGUUCCCGAUUUUAAUCAGAUUUGCAGUUUGAUUAGAUUUAACAUUAUUUAUACUCGUUUUAUGGUUAUUGAGUUUUGGAUUGACGCCUUUCACUUCACGUCUUACAACCAUGAUAAUGAACUAAUAAGCAUAAAAUCCUCAAUACAAGUUGGUAUUAUUCUCCAGUACAGUCGUGUGCCAAAAAAAGAAAAAAAAAGAAAAGAAAAAGCAAUAAAGUCACAGAACCCAUGAAUAUACAUACCUACUGGACAUUACAGACCGGGCUUUGAGAAGAUAUAAAUCUUUUAGAUAAGAUUUACAUUGAAGUCAUAAGGAGUCAGGUCUGGAGAAAAUUAUUUAAAAAGAGUCAGGUCUGGGGAAAAUUAUUUAAAAGCAAAAGAAUGCACUUUCCCCCCUUAAUUAUUGCUUUUAUGAAGAAUGACAAUUCUGCCUGACAAUGCAGAAAUGUGUACAUUAUCACCAAAAAUAUAUAUAAUGAACGUUUUGAUUCACUUGACUCUUGGAAUCUUGUCAUUUCCUGAUUGACACAUAUUGAUUUUAUCCUCUUUUUUAUUUAUUUAUUUAUUUUAUUGGAAUAAAUCUGCUAAGAAACGGAUUUCCUUUUCCGAUGCUGUAUUAUCUUCAGUACAAAAUCAUGUGUUCUAGUGGAGACUGAAGGCUCGCAUGUUGCUCUAUUAAACCCAAACACUGGCACUUAUGCAAAUUUGGAGCCCUUGAACCUUUAUUUUGCUCAUUCACUUGAUCCUGGUCAGGGUCACGGCGAAUCUGGAGCCCAUCCCAGGAGCAGUGUUUGUGGCACAGGAUACACCCUGGGUGAGAUAUACACCAGUCCAACACGUGGCACCAUGCACAAACUCUCACAUAUUCAUUCACACUCAGGCG